GGCGCUAUAGCCAAGUGGUUACGGCGACAGAUUCGAACUUACGAAUUCAUCUGUUCCUCUUUGAGGGCGCAGGUUCAAAUCCUGCUGGCGUCG